CCUAACGUCUCAGCAGCCGCUUCUUCACCUGCUUUGUCUCUGUAGCUCACUUUGAUCCCAUGGUGCUCUCUUCGGUUCAUGUUUGUUAAUCUUUUCUUCUUCUUGUUGUUAUUUGAGUUGCAGGUUCAUUCUUUGUUGUACUGUGUAUGUAUUUGAGUUCGCGAUUUUUGUUGUGGUCGAACUGUGUAUGUAUUUGCUUUGGUUUUUUCCCCAUAAACAUUUGAUCUUUAAGUUUGAGAUUUUUGAGUUGAACCGUAUAUGUAUUUGAGUUCGCGGUUUUUGCUUUCUAGGUUAUGUUCUUGCUUUGUUUUUAUGUUGGAUACAGACUUUAAAGUUAAAGUAAUUAAAUCUUAGGAUAUGUGCAGUUAAGAAUUUUUAUGGAGAAAUUUUAUUUUGCUACAAAUAAAUCGAUAGGGUCUGUGCAAUUAAAAAAUGUAAGUGCAAGAGAUCUAGAUCCAUAGAUAUAAGAACAGGUACAACUAUGUAAAUAUUUAAAUGGUUGUUAGCUUAAUAAAAGUACUCCAAAGCCAAGCUAACUAGCAAGUGUGGAAUUGUUGCUAAAGUCUGUAAUUGCUACUAUAGUGAAUGUGGACAUGACGCAACAUAAACCAUUGAAUGGAUGGAUCAAUAGUGUAAUUGCUUCUAUAGUGAAUUUGGACAUAUAGUAAAAGUGGUAUUUUUCCUUGAAAAACAAGAUUUCUUCCCUUAUUCUGUAGCUGACUAUUUGGCAUUUUAUGCUAAGGAUCACGACCUUGGAAUUUGGCUAGAAGAGCCACCCAAUUGUAUUUUUGAGAUGUUAGCUUUCAAUUUCAAUGAUUGAGCUAAAAUAUUAAUAGUAGAAGGAAAUAUGUAGGCACUAAGCUAUGUAAUUGAGCUAGUUUUAAUUACAAAGUAUGAAAUAAGACAAGACAAUAAUUAUGUUAUUGAUUAUAAGGCCUAAGAUGUCAGUCCAAACUAUACACAACUUCUUGUUGUUUAAUUAAUUAGUGUGUUGUUGUUUAAGGAUUAUUCCUUAGCUCUUUGUAUGUGUUUGCUUUGGUCUUGUGUUGUUUAAUUAGUGUAUUAUUGUCUUGUUUAUUAUAAUUGUAUGAGAAUUUUGUCUUAUUAGAAUGCCACCCAAAAAGGAUUGUGCUAAGUAGGAUGACAACAAAUUUUUUUUCUAGAAUAUGUAACGAAGAGAUAGAUGUUAGACAUAGGCCAAGAACACAUUUUAGUAAAGAAGGGUGGAAGAAUUUAGAGAAAAAAUUCCACGAGAGAAAAUAGUGUGCUUAUGAGAAUAUUCAAUUAAAAAACAAACAAGAUGCGUUAAAAAAGGAUUUUUAAUCUUUUGCUAAGUUGGUUGAGAAAGACACCGCUCUUGGUUGAAAUUAUGAGAAACAAACCAUUAUAGCAGAAGAAGAAUGGUGGGUUAGAAAAAGCAAGGAAGAUUCAAAAUAUCUUGAAGUGGAAACAAAGGGGACCUAAAUUCCUAGAUUUGUUGCAUAAAUGUUUCAAGAGCACAAUAGCUAAAUGUACUUUCUAUUUUAACGUAUUAAGCACCUAAUGUUGAUGGUGAGGAUAAUGCAACACAUGGAGAAACUCAAUUUAAUGAGAAGAACAGCCAAAUGCAAUGCCAACUCCUUCAAACGUGAAUGCCAAGAGGAAAAGAGGCGAAAAGAAAGAAAAAAAAUUGGGACAACAGAUAGACUUAAAAAAUCACUUGACCGUGUUGUCGAUGUGUUGGAUUGGGUCUGAAAUACUAUUGUUAUAGGACCAAAACCGAAAGACCUUUACAACUAUGACAAGUGUUUUUUAUUAUUAAAUGAUGUUCAACUCUUGAUUAAGGGAUCCCGUUUAUUUUUUUGGCUAUGAUAAUCCUAACUAUCAAGGAGAAUAUAGUAGCAUUUGUAUACUUCAUGGUCAAUGAUCCUGAGAUGACCUAUGAGUAGCUCAACACUUUUACUGAGUCGAACAACCCAUGGGCUUGUUGUUAGCAUGUUUAAUACAUAGGCCUAGUUUUUGUGA